AUCGAGAUUAAAAUGCAAUUAAUAUCCUCGCGGGAAAACCGCUACGCAAUUGUAAAGUUUAAUUAACAAUACAUGUAGGUAAUUUUUUCAAAACCCCACGCGCGUAAUUUUUCAAAUCGUCAGUAAUUUUAAUUUUAUAACGUCCGAUGGUACUUAGUAUAGAAGUAUAAUUAUACAUAAUGCAGUUUGUGAAAUAUUUUGAUUUUUCAUUA